rnacentral:rRNA from 1 species
AAUGAACGUUGGCGGCAUGGAUUAGGCAUGCAAGUCGGGGGAAUCCCAGCAAUGGGGGAACCGGCGUAAGGGGCAGUAAGGCAUGGGUACCUACCUUGGGGUUCGGGAUAGCCAUCAGAGAUGGUGGGUAAUACCGGAUGACGUCGUGAGACCAAAGAUUCAUCGCCCUUAGAGGGGCCCAUGUGAUACUAGCUAGUUGGGGGGGUAACGGCCCACCAAGGCGAAGAUGUCUAGCGGGUGUGAGAGCACGACCCGCGCCACUCGCACUGAGACACUGGCGAGACACCUACGGGUGGCUGCAGUCGAGGAUCUUCGGCAAUGAGCGCAAGCUUGACCGAGCGAUGCCGCGUGAGCGAUGAAGGCCUUCGGGUUGUAAAGCUCUUUAGUGGGGGAGAAAAGCCGCAAGGUGUGAUCUAUCCCAAAAAUAAGCACGGGCUAAGUUCGUGCCAGCCGCCGCGGUAA